AACGAACGCUGGCGGCAGGCCUAACACAUGCAAGUCGAACGCUGACUUCGGUCAGAGUGGCGCACGGGUGAGUAACACGUGGGAACCUACCUCGUGCGGAACAACCACGGAACGUUAGGCGUAAUACCGCAUACGACCUGCGGGUGGAAAGAAUUGUAUCGCCGAGGGAGUGGGCCCGCGUCCGAUUAGGUAGUUGGUGAGGUAACGGCUCACCAAGCCUUCGAUCGGUACCUGGUCUGAGAGGAUGAUCAGGCACACUGGGACGUGAGACA
rnacentral:rRNA from 1 species